AUGAGCGUGUGGUUUGACAUGGCCCAGGUUGGCGCGUACCGGUGCCGCUGUGCCGGGGAGGGACCGGGCUGUGUCACCGCCAGAGACGUGCCAGGAUCAGGCCUGCAGCGAGCGGGAGGACCUCUGGGACACGCAGCACUCUCCUCCCUCCUCAGCAGAACCCGGCAUCGCCGGCGGUGCUGGGGUCACCCACAGCAGCUCCUGGCAUCGCCAGCGGUGCCAGGGUCAUCCACAGCAGCUCCCGGCAUCACUGACGUGCCAGGGUCACCCACAGCAGCUCCCGGCAUCACUGGCAUGCCAGGGCUCACCCACAGCAGCUCCUGGCAUCACCAGUGGUACCAGGGCUCACCCACAGUAGCUCCCGGCAUCGCCGGCGGUGCCAGGAUCACCAACAGCAGCUCCCGGCAUCACCGGUGUGCCAGGGUCACCCACAGCAGCUCCCGGCAUCGCUGGUGGUACCAGGGUCACCCACAGCAGCUCCCAGCAUCACCAGUGGUACCAGGGUCACCCACAGUAGCUCCCAGCAUCGCCGCCGGUGCCCCCCACAGCAGCUCCCAGAGGAUGCUCCUGGAGGGCAUCCCCAGACCAACCCCCCCUGGCACAGCUAUUACACCCGGUGUACGCAUCGUUGGCCAGCAUUGCCAGCAGCCCUUGGUCCCCAGCGGCCACCAAAGGGUCUGGGACAGGCGGGCACACCAGGCACAAACUUGGCUACAGAGCCUGGGGACAGGGACUGGCUGGAGAGGACACGAGUCCUCGCAGCAUCCCCCUGAGCUGCCUGCUCCUCCCGAGCCCUGCAGACACCGCAGCACGUGGUGCGGGGACACACACACACCACAGGGACUGUGCACCAGGGUGACCAAGCCACGCUGGAGGCUGACCCACCUGCUGCUGCCAGCGUUCCUGGGGGGCUCCUGCCUUCUCCCCACUGCUGGCAGGGGCUGGGGGCUCUGCAGAGGGGCUGGCUUCUCUAGGAAGGGCUGCAGGGUCCCCGGUGCACCCUGCGUGGCACAGAAGGACUCUGGAGGGGACACUCUCAGGUGUCCCAGCCCACACUGCUGA
rnacentral:lncRNA from 1 species